UACGAAGGGUGCAAGCGUUACUCGGAAUUACUGGGCGUAAAGCGUGCGUAGGUGGUUUGUUAAGUCUGUUGUGAAAGCCCCGGGCUCAACCUGGGAAUGGCAAUGGAUACUGGCAGGCUAGAGUGCGGUAGAGGGUAGUGGAAUUCCCGGUGUAGCGGUGAAAUGCGUAGAGAUCGGGAGGAACACCAGUGGCGAAGGCGGCUACCUGGACCAGGCACUGACACUGAGGCACGAAAGCGUGGGGAGCAAACAGG
rnacentral:rRNA from 1 species